rnacentral:lncRNA from 1 species
UAUAACUAUCAAACAUGUACCAGAGGAAAGAAACAAGAUAAUAUGACAGGGACAAAUAUAUAUCACAACACAAACAUAUAUAUUUUCACAUGAACAUAGUUAACACAGGAACUACGGUAUAAACAUAACCACACAUAUGGGAACAAAGUACUACACCAAGGUUCAGGUUACACGAGUGACAACACAAACGAAAUUACACAAGCCACUAAACUAGUACUCGCAGAUCAACAGAAGCAGCAAGACAGAGAGGAGAGGCUGCAGGGGAUUAGACUCCCCUGUGACGGUGUCUUGUCAGGGGCGUGAGUAGAAGUAGUGAAGGGGUUCAGAGAAGAAGCAUGAGCAGCGGCAGAGGGAGUAAGUAGCAGGAGCGCAUAGAGAAGAAGCAGCAGCAUGUAGCAGAUGCGUUCAGCAGGGGCAGCAGGAAAGAUGUGGGAGAGAGAGAGAUCGCAGCAGGUGAAGAGGAGAGGAACAAUAGCAAGGGGCGAAGGGCGUAGAAGAAUUGCAGGUUGAAGAUGGGAGGAGCAGCAGAAGGUUGAGGUAGGCGAGGCGAAACAGCAGGGAGCAGCGGAGGUAAGGGAAGAAAGGUAGCAGAGAGAGAUGGAGAAGGAGUGGAGUCGCAGGGAGGACCAGACGCCCGUCUGAUCGGGCGCACGAGGUGCGGCGGUGGAGCGGUGGCGCUGGGCAAUGCAGGUGGUGCUGGUGGCGGUGUGAGGUGCGGCUGGUGGUGGAAGGUGCUGGUGGCGCGCCGCCACGCCGGCCUCGCCGCGGCGGCGACCGGAUGUGGAGAAGAGUGGUGAGAGGGAGAGAGAUGAGAUGCCAGGCCCAAAGGGGAUCGAGGCUGCUACUAGGGAUUUUGACCCCUCCUCUAGUCUGCCACUUUUCUGAUUUGGCCCUUCUCCUUUCCUUCUUUCUUCCCAAGUCGAUCCCCUCCAUCUUUAGUUUUGGCCCCUGGUUUCUUCUUUCCUUCAUGCUCAGGUCCCUUUGUUCACUUCUUCCCUGCCCUUCUCUCUUCUCAAUAUCCAAUUCGUCCGAAUCUUGAAGAUUAUAGUGCCUUUGCACACAUUUCUGCAAAAUAGACCAAAGACUAGUAAAUGACCCUUUAUAUGAUUUUCAUGCAAAUAUUCAAUAUUUCACAUCAAGAAUUGAUGGUCAUAUCUCAAUAAACCGCAUAUUUGAGUGCCAAAAGAUUUAUAUGAAAUGUGCUUAUCAAGUUCCCCCACACUUAAAUCAUUGCUUGUCCUCAAGCAAAGGAAUAUGACAAGAGUAGGAUAGUGAAUAGUGAGCUGACUAGAGAAUGUCCAAGUGAAGUAGAUCUCUAAACAAUGCAUGCUUUGGACUUAGCUAGUGAAAAUCAAUGGUUAAGAGUGCUACAGAGCAAUAGGACACUAGUAAACUCAAUCAUUUUAAACUUUUACAAAGAUAAAAGUGGAUCAACAAGUUCAAAUGCUGAUUGCGCCAAAGGGUUCCUAAAGAGAGCAUGAUCCCCAAAAAAGCUUAUUACCCGGAACAUAACAUUAUGGUUGAAGCACUUAUUGAAUGUGAAGGAAGUAAUGAUAAUAUUUUAUCGAUCUCACCAAAGGAACAUACCACCAAUCCCAAGAACAUGGUAUACACCUGGCUCGACCAAUUAUUAGUUUUUUUGUUUGUCUCCCCAAAGGAACGUACCACCGAUCAUGAGAACAUGGUAUACACCUGGUUCGACAAUUACAUUUUUAUUUAUUUAUUACUGUCCAAGCUACCAGAUUUCACAUGCCACCGAUCCAGGGAACAUGACAUGCUACUGUAGGUAGACUAGACUUAUUCAUUAUAAGAUAUACUUUUUUUACUUUUCAAAUUAACAAAAACAAGAAUCAUCACUCAGCCAUGUCUGGUUCACAUACUACCGAUCCAGGGAACAUAGCAUGCUAAUCCAUAGUGGUAAGUGAUUGCUCUGAAUGGGAACACAAUAGGCACAAACUCAGCAUCUAACACUUAAUGAUCUAAGUGUAGCAUGGUAAAAGCAGAAAAUGAUUAAGUUUACUAGUGCACUAGGGAUUUGAGCACUCAAAACUAAUAGCUUUCACUACUUUCAGCCAAGCAAGCAGUGUGUAGAUCACUAGUUUACAAGGCAUUCAACAAUUAGUUCGCAUAUUCUCAUCAAGCACCAUAUGUCAAAUAAAAUUCAGUGGGGCAACAUUUAAGAAAUGGCUUAAUAAGCAACCCAAAUAACAUUUGAUUUUAGCAUGUAUCAAUGGAUGAUAUACUCGGAAUGGGUCAUGAAACAGCUCACGGGCACUAUGAAGUAGCACUCGCUUGAUCACUAUCUAAGCUGCUGCUCUUCUCCUUUGCUUCCUCAUGGAUGCUCCAGCUUCACUCUUCUUCGUGUGUGCCCCCUUGCUUCUCCUCAUCCCCAUGCUCUGAGUCCACCAGGGUCCCAAGGAAUGUCACCUUGAACCUGGUCAGCAUGAAGGGAACGAUGCAGAAGCAAAAAACCUAAAAGAACACUCCACAAAGGAGACGAUGCAAGCGGUAGGGAUAAUACCCUCCAAGUCAUCAAUCGAGUAUCCAAUUACAUAAGCAUAGCUAUAAAGCACAUGUUUAGGAUGGUAGAAAUCAGCAAGGUCAACACUAACAUGAGGAUGAUAUUUAUCAUUAAGCUCAAAACUAGCAUGGGAAUGAUAUGUUUCAUUAAGCAAAGGACUAGCAUGAGGAGAAUAAGUGUCAUCAUCAUAAAUGAGAGCAAUACCACCAACCGUGUAUGUAUCAUCAUAUCCAAGCAAAUGAGUUUUCAAAUCAAUCUUAAGUGAUGAUAUCAUGUAAUGCAAGGAAGUAGCAAAGAAAUUAUACGGACGCAUGCCAUCAAGAGGAUUAGAUAAACAUGCUACAUCACGCUCCUGUAUGACGAUGGGAAAAUGUAUUUCUGGUUCUUCAUCUUCAAUCACAUCAACUUCUUUUGCUUCUUCAAGAGUAAUAGAUGAUGAGUCUUCAAUUGAUUGCUUGGGCUUUCGAGGUCUGGAUCCUCUUGUUCGUCUUGUUCCUUGUUUUCCAGUUCAUCUUCUUCAAUCUGAGGUAUCUCUUCCUCAAGUCUCUUACUAUCUUGCGCAGCUAGAUGUGACAGUGUUGGAACCUCAUAUGUUUGACUAGAGAUCUCAGCAGCACUCAGCUCAAGGAGGGAUGAGAUAGUACUGCCAGCGUCGAUGUUCUUCUCAAUCUUCCUUACUUCUUCCACUAGCUCAUUCCCACUCUUGAUCUUCUUCAUUUCAUCUAGUAUCACCGGCCUAAUUGGAUCAUCUUCAGCACUCAAAGUGAACUCGAGACUAAGCAAUGUGAGCUUGUCUAUAUCAUCAAAAUCAUCUUGUGUGGGCACUUGUGUUGAAGGUGUUGGUUGACCAAAUGGAGGACCAUUUAACUCCAUUGGCAACAUCUCCUGGUGUUGAGGUAUAUGAGUAGGAAGUGAAUAAAAUUGUUCUGGUGCAUAAUUGUUGCUCUCCUCAUUGUACCUAAUUCCCUGCAAUGGAUAACUAGAGGCAAACGAUGAGAUCUCAGGGCUGUUGUUCCUAUAUGACAUAUUCUGGUUUUCAGGCCACCCAUAUGAGUAAUUGUUUUGGUAUGAGCUAGGCUGUGGGGCGAAGCUCAUGCCAUAACAAUCGGGAGGGUGAGAGUAACCACGCUGACAUUCAGCGGGUGAAUGGCCCUGAAAUCCACAAAUAUGGCAUGUAGGAGCAACAUAAGGAUGACCUCUAGAAUAAGGAUCAUAAGAGCUAGCCCUAUCCUCAAAAACUACUUCUCGCUGCCGAGCUAAAUCAUCUAAUCGAUGGGAAAUCUUACUUAUCAGUUCUUGAAUACUUUCCAUGCUGUUUGUAGUGUUGCUCGUAUAAGCAUGAUGACCUGAGUUCAAUGCCAUUUCCAAGAAGAAAAUCCAACUUACAAAAAAAGAGAAAAUAACUAGAACAGUGGUUAGGGGUUAGUUAUAUAUCACAUAUAAAUGUCGCAAAAAGAAAACAAUAAAAACCUAGUCUAUAGCCUAAUACGGUCACUCGACGCUAGUCCACGGCAAUGGCGCCAAAAUGAUCGAUUGUAAGUACAGUGGGAUAUUUCGCCCGAACCGCAAGUGUCGUGUUCUCCACAGGGACUAGGCGACGACAACAAUGCUCGGCUAAAGCUAGGUGUUGGGGAUAUAACUAUUAGGUAUGACCCACCCAGGAGGGGCCGGGUUAUACCUAUGGCAAUUCAUGAAGCCCAAGACAGCUCUGGAAGAUGGCGGUUCAGUUAAGGGCCCAAGGUCCAAAGGCGACUCAAGGCCCGUAGAGAUAAACCGCCAUAUGUACGUAACUUGUAUUGUAAGGCAGGGAUAGUUAGAGACCGAGCCGGACACUGUUUAUGAGCCGUCCGGGACUCUGUGAGCCUCUGGACGUCGACCUCUGUAUAUAAAGGGACGACCCGGCGGCGGUUCAGGGGGGAAGUAACAUCAGAUCGAAAGCUAGGUCAAGCGGAUUCGCUCCCUAGUAAUCAAAACAUAAGCAAUACCAUUUCAAACUGGAUUAGGACUUUACCUUCACCGUAAGGGGUCGAACCAGUAUAAACCCUCGUGUCCUUUGUCCUGUUUUAACCCCUUUAAGCUUCCUAGUUGCGAUGGCUCCACGAUUAAGUCCUUUCACUAGGACAUCUGCCGUGACAAUUCCACGACAGUUGGCGCCCAUCGUGGGGCAUGCGCAUGGUGGAUUUGAGUUCUUGAAGGGCAGCUUCGAAGGGCUCAAGGGAUACGCUGUGGGCCGGAUGACCAAGAGUCGUCGCGGCAAGCUCUACAUCGACGACGCAGGCUGCGGCCCCGACGCCGGCUCAAUUGAGUACGGGUACCGGGUCCCCUUCGGCGGAAUCCAUGUCUUCAUCGGCCAGAUCGGCAAGCCGGUCCUGAGCCGGACAUCUACACCGACAUCGUCGAGACGGCUCAGCGUGCGAAACCCGCCCGAGCUCAGCCCGCCAUGAAGCGUGCCUUCAUGGGAUGCAUCCAUGGAGGGGAAUUUUUUGAAGGAUCUGUGUCUGGCGGUGAGACGGCCAUCUACUCUGAUGGUGAGUCAUCCACGGGCGAGACAAAUUCAUUGUAUCAACUGCAGGACGGUGGGCUUGGGGGCUGUUCCGAUGGCAGCAGUAUUCCGGACCCCUUUGAGCCGCCAAGCAGAGUGGGGAUCUUCAUGGCUGGCAUGCAACCCGGUCAAAACUCUACGGCUGCGGCAGCAAUAACCUCUGGGUCAGUGGCGGCCGUGGCAGGAGGCCCUGCGCGCCCGCUGGCUCAGGUGCUGAUGGAUCUCAUGGAUAGGAUGACAGCCCUGUUAACCGCCGUGGUUAAUCCGGCGGAUCAGGCUCAACAUGAGGCAGAAGUGGCACGGUUACAUGAGGAGGUAGCACAAGGCAAGGAAAACCUAGUAGCAGAGGAUGUUAGGAUGGCCACAGAGUGGGCGGCUUUGGAUGCUCGGGCGCAGCAGAUUCAAUCAGAGGCUUUCCAGCUUAUGAUGGAUCUGAACACAUCAAAUGAGGUCAUGAGGAGAAGGCACCAGAAGGCUAAUUCCCGUCUACCUCCGACUUAUGAUCCUAGAAACCUCUUCCGCACACCCGGUGCAGGCCCCAGUAACCCGCCGGAGGGAAACGGGGUUGCAACGUCCGGGGCUGGGACGCCGGUUCAACCACGGGUGAUGGAACCUCCUCGUAUGAAUACUUCUUCACCUCAUUAUGUACCAACACCACCGGGUCAUUAUUCUAACACUUUGGAGAACAUGGUCACUGCGGCGGCACGAUUGGCGGCUCUCCCGGUGGAGGGCGACUCUCUGACGGCGAUUGAAACACGAAGGGUUAGAGAACUUCAGACGGCUCUGGCGCAGCAGGAGGCAUAUUCGUAUAGUCAAGACAGGAUUCAUUCAACCCCUCGCCCAAGACGGAUCCCGAGUUAUAGCAGGCACAUAGAUUCAGCAGCCGUUUCAAGCAACGCCCAUCGUCGUGACCAGCCGUGCGGGCAUGACCCGGCGCGUUAUGGAGCUCCUAACUUGGUUUACCAGGACAGGAUACGCCAAGAGGCUGAGUGGGCGGUUCAGCAAGCGGCUAAGCGGGCGGCUCAGCGGGCGGCUUACCAGUCUUUUUUGGUUUAUCCGAUGACUUCUAUUGAGGCAGGCGUGACUACGAGGACUGGAGGUGUCCCUUGCCUGAUGCUGGCUCUGCGUAACGAGCGGGUGCCCAAGGAUUUCAAGGGGCCUCGAAAGGUGCCUAAUUACACGGCCGAUUUACAGCCCGGGGCAUGGAUUGAAAGUUAUGAGAUGGCCAUGGAACUACUGGAGGUCAGUGACGCUGCAAUGGCCAAGUACUUCACCAUAAUGUUGGAUGGGAUGGCCCGCACUUGGUUAAAGGGCCUGCCACCUAAUUCCAUUAGUUCAUGGGCAGAGUUAAAGGCCCGGUUUAUUCAGAACUUCAAAGACACAUGCAAGCAGCCCAUGUCAAUUGUGGAUUUGACUAAUUGCAAGCAAGAGGAAGGUGAGUCCACAACCCAUUGGGUGCGCCGGGUCAAAGCCAUAAUACAUUCAUCUGAUAAGAUGGAUGCCGGCUCUGCAGUCUUAAUGUUGGUGAAAAAUUACCGUUUUACGCCUCUGAAACAGAAGCUAGGGCGGCUCAAGCGCGAUUGUAAUGACAUGGGCCAGCUAAUGGCGGCUCUAGUCAAGUACGUUGAUUCUGAUAGUACCAAGGAUCCCAAGUCUGACAAUGAGAAGACAGGGAAGGGAAAGAAGAAUGACAAUGCCAAGGGUCAUCAGCAUAACCCGGCGAAUCAAGGAGGCAAUAAUAAACGUAAGGCUGACGGUAGCUCGAAGUUUGUGGCUAACACCAAUGUGCAGGGCAACAAUCAACGACGUAAGGGGAGACCACCUCCUCGGUCCGGCGGGUCAGGUCCCACUCUUGAGCAGUUGCUAAAUGAGCCAUGUCCAAGGCACGGUACUCAACAGAAACCGGCCACUCACCUAUGGAAGGAAUGUACAAUCAUGAAGGCUUUCAAGAACUCUAACAUGUUCAAUGACAAUCAUGGGCCGGGCGGCGGCGGUUUUCAUGGCUCGGGCGGCGGUUCAAAUUCCAACUUUCAAGGCUCUCAAGGAAAGCAAGGUGGCUAUAAUCAGCAAUCUGGCCAGGGAGGUCAGCAGCAGCAGCAGUGUGGAUAUCAGAGCAAUCCAAAACAACUGAAUAGUGGACAGUAUCAUGUGUUCACCACCAGUUUGUGCAAAAGGGACCACAAGCUUCAUAAGAGGGCUGUGAACGCUGUUGAGCCGACAGUUGCUCGUUAUUUGAGAUGGUCUGAGCAGCCUAUUCUAUGGAGUAGGGAAGAUCACCCUCCCCGGGUUGACAAUCCGGGUCACUUGGCCUUAGUGGUGUCACCUCAGGUUGGUGGAUAUAAAUUCACUAAGGUGCUCAUGGAUGGAGGUAGUAGCAUCAACAUCCUCUAUUAUGAGACUUUUCGUCGCAUGGGUUGACUGAUAAAAAUCUUAAGACAUCCAACACUAUUUUCCAUGGAGUGUUGCCUGGUAAGUCGGCGUACCCAGUGGGUAAGAUUGAACUAGAAGUAGCCUUUGGAGAUGAGCAUGAUUCUAGGGCUGAGAAGUUAACUUUUGAGGUGGUCAAAAUCAAAAGCCCAUAUCACGCCCUGUUUGGAUGGCCGGCUUAUGCCAAGUUCAUGGCACGGUCGUGUUAUGUUUAUCUGCAGCUCAAGAUGCCGGGUCAUAAGGGCACCAUCACAGUGCAUGGGAGUCGGAAGAUAGCCUUGGAAUGUGAGGAAGGCGAUGCUGCUUACGCUGAAUCUGUUUGUGCAACAGAGGAGUUGAAGUUCUACAAGGACAAUGUUGACCCGGCGGACAUGACGUCUUUGAAGAAGCCAACCACAGAACAUGAGCCGGCGCUGAAAUUUAAGUCGGCUGAUGACACCAAGCUUGUCAAUUUUGUUCCAGGUGACUCAUCUAAGCAGUUCAGUAUCAGUGCUAAUCUGGAUCCAAAAUAGGAAAGCGCUCUCAUCGAGUUCAUCCGUGAGAAUCGAGACAUCUUUGCAUGGAAACCUUCUGACAUGUCAGGUGUACCGAGAGAUCUUGCUGAGCACACUCUCAAUAUUGAUCCAAAGUUUAAGCCGGUCAAGCAGUUUCUUCAGCGGUUCAAUGAGGAGAGGCGUAAGGGCAUUGGUGAGGAAGUGGCCCGACUCUUGGCGGUCGGGUUCAUUAUUGAAGUUUUCCAUCCAGAGUGGUUGGCUAACCCGGUGCUCGUGCUUAAAAAGAAUGGCACCUGGCGUAUGUGUGUGGAUUACACGGACUUAAACAAGGCUUGUCCGGCUGAUCCUUUCGCGCUCCCUCGUAUUGAUCAAAUCAUUGAUGCUACGGCGGGUUGUGAGCGUUUGAGCUUUUUGGAUGCUUAUUCUGGUUAUCAUCAGAUCAAGAUGGCAGUUAAGGACCAGGAGAAGAUGGCUUUUAUUACUCCGUUUGGAGUCUUCUGCUAUGUGUCUAUGCCUUUUAGGCUUAAGAGUGCCCAGGCGACUUAUCAGCGAUGUGUGCAGAACUGUCUUCACAGUCAGAUUGGGCGCAAUGUUCAUGCUUAUGUGGACGACAUUGUGGUGAAGUCCAGAGAGAAGGAGACCUUGACAGAUGAUCUGAAGGAAACCUUUGAUAACCUCCGGGUCUACAAGAUGAUGCUUAACCCGGCCAAGUGUGUUUUUGGAGUGCCAGCGGGCAAGCUUUAGGGUUUUCUGGUUUCUAACAGAGGCAUCGAGGCUAACCCGGAGAAGAUCAAGGCAAUCACGUCUUUGGCUAAGCCGGCGUGUAUCAAUGAUGUUCAACGUUUGGCGGGUCGUAUUGCUGCCUUAAGCCGGUUCAUAAGCCGGUUAGGUGAGAAGGCCAUACCGUUGUAUCAGAUGAUGAAGAAGACAGACAACUUUGUCUGGAGUGAUGCUGCUAACGCUGCCUUUGAAGAUUUGAAGAGAUAGCUCGCUGAGCCGUCGGUCCUUGCUGCUCCCAUUGAUAAGGAGCCAUUAUUGUUAUAUGUGGCUGCUAACACACGUGCUGUCAGUGUGGCCAUUGUCGUAGAGCGCAAGUAGGAUGGCAAGGAAUAUCCAGUUCAAUGGCCGGUUUACUACGUCAGUGAGGUGCUUAUUGAGUCCAAGCAAAGAUAUCCACACUGGCAGAAGCUCGUUUAUGGGGUAUUCAUGGCGAGCUGGAAGCUUAAGCAAUAUUUUCAGGGUCAUCCCAUCACUGUGGUUAGUUUUGCUCCUUUAGGAGAUAUCAUUCAAAAUAGAGAAGCCACAGGACGAGUCGCCAAGUGGGCCAUUGAACUUGGGCCUCAUGGUUUAAAGUAUGUGCCACACACUGCUAUCAAGUCCAAGCAUUGGUGGACUUCAUCAACGAUUGGACAGAGCUGUAGAUGCCUGAAGAGAAGCCGGACAACACAUAUUGGACUAUUCACUUUGAUGGGUCCAGACAAUUGGAGGGCUCGGGGGCUGGAGUUGUUUUAGCUUCCCCUGGAGGUGACAAAUUUUGGUAUGUGCUACGGUUGAUGUUUCCCUGUACUAACAAUGUAGCUGAGUAUGAGGCCUUGCUCCAUGGUCUUCAGAUGGCUAAGGAGAUGAGCUUAAGCCGGGUAAGGUGCUUUGGCGACUCAGAUUUGGUGGCUCAACAAGUAUCAGACAAGUGGGAUUCCAAGGAUCCUCUUAUGGCGGCUUAUCGCCAUGAAGUUGAUGCCAUUACUGGACACUUCAAGGGUUACCAAGUGGAGCACAUUGAUCGCAGAAAGGAUGAGGCGGCUGAUGCUUUAAGCCGGCUGGGGUCUCAGCAUAAGCCGGUGCCACCUAACACUUUCUUAGAUAUUCUGCAUAACCCUUCUGUCAAGUUGCCUACAGAGGAAGACUUGGCUGUUCCAGACCCGGAAGCACAAUUGGUGGCGGCUCUUCACGUCAUCCCAGAUUGGACAGUGCCAUAUUUGGCUUAUAUGACCCGGGGCGAGUUGCCUGAGGAUGAAACCCUGGCUAGACAGAUAACCCGGCGGUCUAAGUCAAUGACAAUUGCCAAUGGUGAGUUGCAUCAUCGCAGUGUCACUUGGGCGUUUCAACGAUGUGUCUCUCCUGAGGAAGGUCAAGAAAUUCUUCAUGAAAUCCAUGAAGGAGAUUGUGUCCAUCAUGCCGGUUCAAAGUCUCUUGUGGCCAAAGCUUUCCGUCAUGGAUUUUAUUGGCUGACGGCUCACGCUGAUGCGGAGGAUCUAGUCAGUAAAUGUGAUGGUUGCCAGAAAUUCUCACGACGGGCUCACAUGCCGGCUCAAGAAUUGAGGAUGAUUCCAAUUACUUGGCCAUUUGCAGUCUAGGGGCUCGACAUGGUUGGGCCUUUCAAAAGGUCCAAAGAUAAAAAGACACACCUUCUGGUGGCGGUUGACAAAUUCACAAAGUGGGUUGAGGCAGAACCGGUUAUUAGUGUGACGCAGCCACAACGGUUCAAUUCAUGAAAAAGGUGAUCUUUCGUUUUGGCUUUCCACACAUCAUUAUAACUGACAAUGGUACUAAUCUGUCCAAGGGUGCCAUGGAGGAGUUCUGUCAACGUGAGCACAUCCGGCUUGAUGUUUCAUCAGUAGCUCACCCCCAAUCCAAUGGUCAAGCUGAAAGAGCCAAUCAGGAAAUCUUGAAAAGCAUCAAGGCCUGGAUUAUGGUUCCUUUACAACGGACGCCGGGUUGUUGGGUCGAGGAGUUACCCUCUGUGAUAUGGAGCAUCAAUACCACCCCUAACAGGUCUACGGGUUACACGGCUUUCUUCAUGGUUUACGGAGCCGAAGCGGUUCUCCCUAGUGACAUCCAUCAUGACUCGCCCCGCGUGGCAGCUUAUGUUGAGGCUGAUAAUGAACAAGCACGUCAGGAUGCAUUUGACCUGUUAGAUGAGAAGCGCGACUUGGCAGCAGCCCGCUCGGCGAUUUACCAGCAGGACUUGUGCCGUUAUCACAGCCGCCGGGUUAAGUCCAGAACCUUUCAAGAAGGUGAUUUGGUGCUCCGGCUCAUCCAGGAUCAAACUGACUCACACAAGUUAUCCCCACCUUGGGAAGGGCCCUUUGUGGUCAGCAUGAACUUGCACAACGGGUCAUACUACCUCAUCGAUGUUCGAGAGCACAAAGACUCACGUAAGUCGGAGGAAGAGAACCGUCGGCCGUGGAAUAUCGCUCAUCUUCGGCCUUAAUAUACUUGAGCCACCAGCGCUCAUAAUGUACAUAUUUUGACGAUGUAUAUAUUAUGAUAAGUAAUAAAAUAGGACCUCUGUCCUUUUCAUCCUCAAUGAUCAUAUGUCUUCAUCAUCAUAAUUUUAAAUGACCAAUUGGGGGCUGAUCGUACUCGAAUCCAGCUUAACCCUUUGGUCCGGCUCAUGAUCGCAUUCGAAUCUAGCCGUUAAACCUCAUGAUCACUAGGGGGCUUCCUGUUCAAACAUAGGCCAUAUUCGAACCAAAGAGAACAUAGCUGUCGGUAUCCUCUUGAUCGGCACAAUGCCAAACUCACUAGGGGGCUUCUUGAUCGUAUUCGAAUCAUAGCUUAACCCCUUUUGGGUCUGACUUUGAUCGUAUUAGAAUCAGAGUCGUUACAAAAAAACUCUCAAGGUCAUUCGGGGGCUUCCUAUUCAAACAUAGGUCGUAUUCGAACCAAAGAGAACAUAGCUGUCGGUACCCUCUUGAUCGGCGCAUCGCCAAAGCCACCGGGGGCUAGAUGAUCGUAUUCGAAUCCUAGCUUAACCCAUUUGGUCCGGUUUACUGAUCGUAUUCGAAUCAGAAGCCUCAAAUUUUUCUUUCUAUUUGGUUUAAGUUUUUUGAAAACAAUCUUUGUUUUUGUCUUGAGGCUUUUUAUCCAGAUCUAAGUAUAAGUAUGGUUUAAAUUUAACCCAGCUUGGUUUUGGAUGAUCAGUCGCCAGCGCAUGACAAUCAUCAUACAUGUGGAAGUGUUGGCUUCUAAAGGAUGGGGUUAUCACCCUUACUGUUCAGGUCACAUGAACCGGCAGUGCAAAUUCGAAAUCACAGGUAUGAUACUAUGGUUGUGGUUCAACGCUAUAAUUCAUAACAGGCUUAUCUGUGUCUCUUCUUUCAAUAUUAAUGGUUGUAUGUAAGAUGUUAUGACCCGCCCUGCGGUAAGCCGCCAAGGGUUCUUGUGAUCUAUUUCUGUGUGCAGGACAGUUCAAAGACUUUCUUAUGCAUAAAUAAAACAAAUGAUAAGUUUAAAAAGGGGAGAGUAUAAGGCGGCGGCUUAACAGUGUUGAGCACCAAAACGUGCAUGAUGGCACGACAAAGCAAAGUCAUUUCUACCCUAUUACAUGACUCGCCGAGUCCAAAUGAUUAAAUUGUUUUUCAGCAAGGUACAAAUAUGAGCUGCCCGGCGGUUCAGUCUUCUUGGCCUUGUUGCUUGGAGUCUUCUGCGUCAUCCUUUGCCGGCUCUUCGUCUUCUUCCGCUAGCUGAAAAGUUGGUGAUGACCAAUCGAUACCAGAUAAAGCUUCAUUCAGCUUCAUCAUCUAUAAGCUCAGACAGAUCGACUUCAGGAGCAAAGGUGUGCUUACGAAUUGGCGGGAUUAAGUCCAUCACUCUGUAAGCCGGAGUUGGCAUCUUCUUAUGGUCCCGGUCAUAAGCCGGUUGGUACUUGGAGAGGUCCGAGUCAUUCGCAAUCAUUGUGGCCAUUGGACGGAUUUCCUUUACACAGGCCGCGAAGUCUUUCUGAUUGAAAGGUGUACCAUAUUCUUUCAGACUUGGGUAACCAGUAGCUACCUCAGAUGGAUCAAGCUCUGGUACCCAUGCCUUGGCCCGACUCAAGGCUGUCACGACGCCGGCUCUUGCAGAUGAUCGCUUUAUUUCAUCAAAUCUAACAGGAGCACAUAAAGCUUCUUCAAAACAUCUAUGAACAUAGUUGGUGCUUGACCUGUUGGUGAGAUAGAGGCCAGUGCACGUUGAGUCCCGGUGCACAGCUGUUCAACAAGGGUAUAGAAAACUUUCAGCUUGACAAGCAUGUCUUGAUUGAGGUUGCUGCUCCUGGGACCUGAAUAGAUUGUAGUACGAUUAAGAUGGCGAGUUAUAUGAUCAAAGAUAAUGAUUCACUUCUGAUGCUUGAUAAAGGCGACUCACUGAAGAUGGUUGAAACCAUCUGAUUAACACGGCUUUUUAAAUCGGACAGUUCAGUGGUCGCUUCUUGAAGUGCUGCUUCUGCCUUCUCAGCACGUUGGGUCAAGGCCGUCUUCUCAUCUGCCCAGGAUUUUCUCUCUGCUUCAAAGCCGGUCUUCAAUUUUUCCGACUCAGCCAAGCUAAAUUGGAAUUUGGACUCAGCCUUCCGGGAUUCAGUUUCCUGAGUCGCCAGCUGGCUCUUGGCAUCAUUUAGUUGGGAUUCCAGUUCAGCAGUGGCAGACUGCACAAGGAGCAGAAUUGUCGAAUAUCAGAUUUAUUAGAUUGCAAGUCCCAAGUCUUUUGCCUGCAACAACACUUGACACUUGGGGGCUAAUGUCUAUCGAAGCUAAAUUUUCAAAAAAGCGGCUCUAAUAAAGUCCCAAGUACUUUGCAAGCAAAACUACUUGGCACUUGGGGGCUAAUGCAUACCGUUUGUUUUUUCUUUAUUAUGAGCCGGAAGUAAUGUAACUGUCCUAACCGAUUCAUAGGGGCAAUGCAGUCAAAAUCUUUCUUCUUAUACAAAGACAAACAAGGACCGGCUAAUUCCCAUGGAUUAAGCCGGCCCUUUGGGGCUACGGACGGAAAGUUAAAAUCCGCUUUACAUUUAAACCGGCCAAAGAGGGAUUCUAUGGCAGCAGUUGUGAAUUGUUUUUCAAGUCCACAACCUAUAUUAUCAUAAAUAGUAGACUUGGGGGCUGGCAGGAUAUGUAUACAAAUUACUUAAAGAUGGAAAUUCAUACCUCAUAUUUUUGGUGCAUCUGCUUCACCAUAUCAAUUUUGAGGCCGCGGCUGGAGUGGACCUGGAUGAGAUAGCCGGAGAGGAUCUCAUUGCUGUUUAGUUGGGAGUAUUGAGAAAUAUCAAACUUCUGUUUCCGCCUCUCAAUGACUUCUUGUUUGGCAGUAUGUUUGGCCAGAGCUAUCAGAUUUCCCGGCUCUACAAAGCUGGUGCCAGUAAUCAACACAUCAUCAUUUUGAGGCUCUGACGGCUUAGUUGAGUCGGAGGGGGCAGAAGUUGAAGGACUGAUGGCAGUGCCACCAACGCUAAGUUCCGGAAUCUCAGGAGGGGUGACAGUGACAGUGUCUUCCGGAUGCUUAUUGGAAGCCUCAGGGACAGGUAUUUGUUGUUCCGGCUCAGGGAUUUCCGGUGCUUCUAUUGGCUUGAUCACUUUAGCGUUUUUGUUUGGCUUUGCUUGACCACUACAGAGGUUAUGAAAAGUCAGUAUUAAUAUAAGUACAUAUGAAGGUACAGAGUAAAGCUAAUUGAUAUUACCCAGGGGCAGUCUUGAAAGCCGACAUUUCAGUUUAUGAUGAGCCGUCAGAAGAAGAACGAGCAAGUUCUUGGUCAAUGAUCAUUAAAAGAGUUAAGUAACAAAUAAGCAAGACCCGUUGACAGAUGAGAAGAAUUUUUCGAGUUUAAACACCUCGUUUCGGCGUUUCCGAGGGGCAGGGGUGUUCGGUAAGCCGGAUGAUAAUUCAUCACCUCCGCUGGUCCGGGUCUGGAGAUAGCUUUCAUGCUGUUGUCGUUUCAAAAGAAAGUGAGGAUCUAAAUAAGCCAAGGGGUGUGAAAACCUUACUUUCUGGGUUACUUGUCGAAGUUUCUGUCUUAGCAAAGAUUCUGAGCCGGAGGAAAUAAUAGUUACCUCUUCUUCAACUGCUUGGCUGGCUCCCGUCUCAGCCUGAUAAUAAGCAGUGUCAAUAAGAUGGUUGAAAAAUAAGCCAAGAGAGUCAAGGGCUACCUCCGACUCAGAGGUAUCAUCCAACUUAAGCAUGUCAGAGGCGCUUGGUUUCUUCUUCUUCUUGGUGGUCUUCUUGGCGGUUUUCCUAGCGGCCUUCUUGGCAGCUCUGGCCUUCUUAGCAGCCUCGUGGUCAUAUUCCGCCUUCCAGAAUUCCGACUUACCCUGUAGAGGUUGUCAACAGUUGAGUUAAUCAGAUAUUCGAAUAAUGAGGUGAAGAUACAGUAAAGUUCAGAGGCUUACAUCUGGAGCCGGGUUAAGCUUGCAGAAAGGGGCCAGACCCACUUUGACACAAUCCUCCGGGUCUUGAUUUAAAAGAGACUUCACCAUUUCAUUGAUUGCUUCUUCAGACAAUGGUUCGGAGCUAUGGCGCAGUGAAUCUGUUGUAUCACCACUAUAGGUGCCCAUUAAGCCGGUGCGACGGCUCAACGGGAUGAUCCGCCAAGAAACCCAGCACCUGACUAAAUCAACACCAGUCAGCCCGUUUCCUAGCAGAGCUUUGAUUUUCAUGAUGGUAUGUGCAAUCUUCUUCCGUUCAGCUGCAAAGAGCUUUUCAGGGAGAUUAUGUUUGGGGUCCAGGCGCUCAACACGAUAACCCAGUAGAGGAUUCUCAUCAGCCGGAGAAGUGUCUUUGCAGUAAAACCAUGUCUGAUUCCAGUCUUUAGGGUGACUCGGCAGCAUGGCGUAAGGAAAGAUGGCGUCUCUGCGAUGUUGAAUCGAGAUUCCGCCUAGUUCCAAGCUAGGGCCAUUGGUGAAUGCAGUCUGGCGGUUUAAGUAAAAAUACUCUCGAAAGAGUUCAACACUGGGCUCCUCUUUAAGAUACACCUCACAAAAGACUUGAAAGUUGCAAAUGUUUGACACGAAAUUGGGUUCGAUGUCUUGAGGGUGGUGCUGGAAGAAGUGCAGCACGUCUCGAAAAAACUUAGAGCUGGGCGGUGAGAAACCCCAGUUCAUGUGGUCAGUAAAGACAAUGACUUCGCCGUCUUUUGGUUGGGGUUUCUCUUCACCCGGGUUAGGAGCACGAUAAUGCAUCACGCUCUUGGUGGGUAAAUAUCCGAUUUUGAAAAAAAAAUCCUUGAGGGUGCUCUCGGUGACGAUGGAAGGGACCCAAUUGCAGGUGUACACUAUUUUAGGCGGCAUUGUGGAAGAAAACCUAAAGGAAAGAAAUAUUGCCGAUUCAAACUUAAGCCGGAGAGGAAAAUAUUACAGUGCAUAUUCAAGAUGGCGGCUUACAAAGGGGCCUAAUGGUAUAUGACUAAAUUAUGUCAGGUUAUGUAAACCGCCAUGAGCAGUGCAAAUUAUUUAAGCCGCCAUGAUAAGUUGGAUGAUGUCUGUUGAGCAUUUCAAUUUAAGUCGGCAAUUUGAGCCACCAUGGCUAGGUGGAUCUAACAAAUGCAGUUUUUGCCUAAGUGUUAUACAAAAAAGUUUCAUAGGCUGCAACUAUUAUUUCGGAUCAACGUUUGUUCAGGAAAAGAAAAAUAAAUCUAGACCUAAAAACCAGUACAGAUGAGUUCAUGAGCUUUCACAAGAUUUUUCUUCCAGGAAAGGGAAUCUACUGAUAUCAAAAGUGGGAAUAAAACAACUACCGCAUUGGUUGAACACCAUUUUUAGAUCAAAGAAGCUCGCGGUACAGCCUGGAAGAUGAACUACGAAGAACACAGAGAAACUCGCAAACCCGAAUGCGGAUCUGAGGUAUGGGAAGGCAGAAAUUUACAGCUGCAGAUCUACUGCGGAGGGUCGCCGCCGUUCUCUAGAUCGACUCAGGUUGAUGCAGCGGCCGAGGUUGAGGAAGACGAGGUGCUCUGCGGCGGCAGUGGAGCUCGAGCGGCAGAAGGGUUGCGAGAGGAAGAAGACGCUGGAAAGGGGGAGAAUGAGGAAAGACCGGUCGUGCCUAUUUAUAAGGAGACUCUUAAGUGGGAGCGAAAAACGAGGAGGCCAAAAAUAUGGUUAUCCAGCUACCAGGACGCCUCGAUUCUUGGGAUGGUCAUUAAGAUAAGGAUCCAUUGAGAUACGUUGGAUAAAGUGUGAAGUAAUGGCAGAUGACAUCAUGGCGGGUAAUCACAAAUCCAGAAGAUGACGUCAUGGCGGGUUACAAAUUCUCGCACAAUGAAGAGCAGAAAAUUUUAUGUAAGUGUUGAAGAUUGACAUGAACCAGCUCAAAUCAAUCUGGGGCCUAAUGUUGGGAAUAUAACUAUUAGGUAUGACCCGCCCAGGAGGGGCCGGGUUAUACCUAUGGCAAUUCAUGAAGCCCAAGACAGCUCUGGAAGAUGGCGGUUCAGUUAAGGACCCAAGGCCCAAAGGCGACUCAAGGCCCGUAGAGAUAAAUCGCCAUAUGUACAUAACUUGUAUUGUAAGGUAGGGAUAGUUAGAGACCGAGCCGGACACUGUUUAUGAGCCGGCCGGGACUCUGUGAGCCACUGGACGUCGACCUCUGUAUAUAAAGGGACGACCCGGCAGCGGUUCAGGGGAAGUAACAUCAGAUCGAAAGCUAGGUCAAGCGGAUUCGCUCCCUAGUAAUCGAAACAUAAGCAAUACCACCUCAAACUGGAUUAGGCCUUUACCUUCACCGCAAGGGGCCGAACCAGUAUAAACCCUCGUGUCCUUUAUCCCGUUUUAACCCCUUUAAGCUUCCUAGUUGCGAUGGCUCCACGAUUAAGUCCUUUCCCUAGGACAUCUGCCGUGACAAUUCCACGACACUAGGCGGCAGAAUUUUAAGAGAGGAUUGCAAGAAAAUAAUAACUUAAACUAGCCAGGGUUGAUGACAAAGAAAUCCUAAACAGCAAGGGGAAAUUCAGAUUUUACUCAUUGUCUUUUUGGUAUUUUCAUAAUGCUUGAGAAGUUAAAAUACUAAUACGAGCAUACAUCAAUGACAAGAGAAGUGAAAGGACAUGAACGUAACAUGACAAGGACACAUAUAUAACUAUCAAACAUGUACCAGAGGAAAGAAACAAGAUAAUAUGAAAGGGACAAAUAUAUAUCACAACACAAACAUAUAUAUUUUCACAUGAACAUAGUUAACACAAGAACUAUGGUAUAAACAUAACCACACAUAUGGGAACAAAGUACUACACCAAGGUUCAGGUUACACGAGUGACAACACAAACGAAAUUACACAAGCCACUAAACUAGUACUCGCAGAUCAACAGAAGCAGCAAGACAGAGAGGAAAGGCAUGCAGGGGAUCAGACUCCCCUGUGAUGGUGUCUUGUCAGGGGCGUGAGUAGGAGCAGUAGUGAAGGGGUUCAGAGAAGAAUCAAGAGAAGCGGCAGAGGGAGUAAGUAGCAGGAGCGCAUAGAGAAGAAGCAGCAUCCUAUAGCAGAGGCGUUCAGCAAGGGCAAUGUCGGUGUGAAAACCGGCGGAUCUCGGGUAGGGGGUCCCGAACUGUGCGUCUAAGGCGGAUGGUAAAAGGAGGCGGGGGACGCAAUGUUUACCCAGGUUCGGACCCUCUCGAUGGAGGUAAUACCCUACUUCCUGCUUGAUUGAUCUUGAUGAUAUGAGUAUUACAAGAGUUGAUCUACCACGAGAUUGUAGAGGCUAAACCCUAGAAGCUAGCCUAUGAUUAUGAUUGUUGUUGUCCUACGGACUAAACCCUCCGGUUUAUAUAGACACCGGAGGGGAUUAGGGUUACACAGAGUCGGUUACAAGGGAGGAGAUCUACAUAUCCGAAUUGCCAAGCUUGCCUUCCACGCAAAGGAGAGUCCCACCCGGACACGGGACGAAGUCUUCAAUCUUAUAUCUUCAUAGUCCAACAGUCCGGCCAAAGUGUAUAGUCCGGCUGUCCGAGGACCCCCUAAUCCAAGACUCCCUUAGUAGCCCGUGAACCAGGCUUCAAUGACGAUGAGUCCGGCGCGUAGAUUGUCUUCGGCAUUGCAAGGCGGGUUCCUCCUCCGAGUACUCCAUAGAAGAUUUUGAACACAAGGAUCGUGUCCGGCUCUGCAAAACAAAUUCCACAUACCAACGUAGAGACUACAAUAUUCCACGAAUACAAUCCGCUGACAAUUUUUCCUAACGUGACACCAUGCCAUGAACCAGUCUUUAUUCGCACCGUUCUCCCUAACCAGCUACUGCUCAUGUCGCGAGGCGGUUUUAUGGGCAUGUCGUAUCGAAGCAGAGAUCGUGCCCCCCUAUCUCGGGAUUCUCAUCAAUACGGGUAUGGGUAAUCCAACCACGUCUUUAGCGCAACGCUUGGGGAAUAAGCGAGUUUACCAGGCAAGUGGGGAGGCGCUGGAUCCCUGCCGCCUUUAUAAGGAGAUAAGAACUCCCCUUUUUCACCCAUGCCUUCUCCUUCUGUUUAACCAUUCCCCUUUGCUCGAGCCCCAGCGCCCAAGCAUUCGUCCUCUCUGACCAUGAAGGACUUCCGAAAAUGUCUGGAUCUGGAGCAGGAGGCAAAUGGAUGGCCUCAACCGUCCGGGAGAAGGAUAUCAAAAAGCUUCAGGAGGCCGGGUACCUGGCCCAGAAAAUCAGCGACCGUCUCCCGACGGUAGGACAGAUCGUCCCUACUCCGGAACCCCACGAGAGGGUUGUUUUCCUCCCUCAUUUUGUCCGUGGGCUGGGGUUUCCCCUCCACCCAUUCAUUCACGGCAUCAUGUAUUACUAUGGGAUCGAUUUUCAUGAUCUAUCCCCCAAUUCCUUCCUCAACAUCUUGACGUUCAUCGUCGUGUGCGAGGCCUUUCUCCGCAUCUCGCCACACUUCGGCUUAUGGCUGAAGAUCUUUAAUGUGAAGCCCAAGGUAGUGGGCGGUGAGCACGCCGAGUGCGGAGGCGCCAUUGUGAGCAAGAUGCCCAACGUCACAUGGCCAAUAGGUACUUUCAAUGAUUUCGUCAAAGAGUGGCAGCAGCAGUGGUUUUACAUCCCAGAGCCGUGCGGCACGAAAUGGGCCACUGCUCCUGAAUUCUGAUCCGGAGCCCCCCUGCGGCUUACGUCCUGGCCCAAGAAGGGCCUGGAUUGGUCUUCAUCCGACGAGCUGUCGGUACUUCAGACGCGCGUCAAGAAUAUGGAAGACAAGGAUAUCAAACUUGUCAAUGUAGUCCAGGUGAUGUUAGCUCGCCGGACCCUUCCUUGUCAACACCGGGCUUGCAAUUUAUGGGAUUUUGACCCGGCCAAGCACCAGACCCUGCGGGAGCUCUUUGGCUCCUCACAUAAAGAUAUCUCGAAGGUGCUUUUUAAGUCCGGCAAAUCAUGGCCGGACUCAGCCGAGGACCGCGGGUACCAACUGUCCCGCCCCGCAAGUUCGGUAAGCCAUUAUAAGUUUUAUUCGCAUAACCCAAGGGAAACGCUUAAUGUGUUUUCCUCAACUCUCCUAGGGCUGGACGAAGAAGGCGGGGCGGAUCUACUGUCCGGCCCCGCUACCUGAAGAACCGGCCGGCCCGCUUCUAACGAAGAUGCUGGUCCCGGCGCCCUAGAAGGCGCUGAAGAAGAAGGCCGAGAGAGGGGCUGAGAAGACCAGGGGCGGCCUCCGUCGUCGUGGUGCCUCGGACACGAUAUCCAAAGAUUCCAAUGCCCGUUCUUCCUCCGAAGAGGAUGAUGAUGAGGAGGAAGACAAAUCCCCAACAGGGGGAAGAAAGAAAAGGACAGCCUCCGCAUUGUUGGAGGCCGAGUCGCCUAAGAAGGGAAAAACUCUUCUUCCAGUGGUGUCCACCAUCGCUGAUAGCAGCCCGGAGUGGGAUCCCAGGGCUCAGCCCCUGGUGAACUCGUGAGUAUAUAAAAUCUGAACACGUUUAUGUGUCCGGACUUAUCAUGGCACAAUAUUUUGAUCUGGGCCAUACUUUUUGCAGUCCGGCGAGGUCCCGCGCGGAGCAAUCCUCGUCGGAGGAUUUGCUAAGCUCGGACGCUAUGGAGAGCGGGACACCCCCGAAGGUCCCUUCCCCCAAACAUGUGAAUGACACCAAGGCUUUGUCCCUGGAGGACCCAGGCCAAGGAGGUGGGGGAAAUAUUGCCAAGGUGGCGCCAGGAGGUCAAACUUCAGGGGCCGGACACAUGGGAGGGAAGGCUCCCAUGGGCGUCUUCGGCCGGAGCCAUCUUAAAUUCGGCCCCCAGCCGGAUGCAAUUCCGGAGACCAAUAUGGUUCCAGAGUCAGGCAGGCAGUCUCCCUCGGCUAGAGGGGGUGUACCUGUUCCACCGGCAACCUCUGUCCAACCAGAGGUGCUGGAUACUCUAUUGGCGGCGCUGAAAAGCGCCUCCGUCGUUGAUGAACACCGUGCCCCUGUGGGUGCGGUGAUUGAGAAGAUUCAAUCUGCGGAGAGUGGGCUGAAUGAAGCCUGUAUUAGCCUUAUAAGAGGCCUUUUGAGGUAUGUUUUAUGAAGUUUCAAAGAGUGUCACAAUAUAGAUAGUAGCCCCCGAUACACUGUUUGGUGAGAGAAAGAACCGGACAGAGGAUCAAUUCUAUGUUCGCGGGACACUCACUUGGUGACAUUUACCUCUCUUUUGGUAUAAACAGGCGUCUGUAGCGACUGCCACCUCUCGUACUGCGGAGGUCUCCGGACUAAAUCGAAGUCUGGAGUGGGCCAUAGAAGAAUUUGGCCAGUUGAAAAGGCAGUUGGAGGAUAAACAAGGUAUGCACAAACCUUGCUCACGUUCAGUGCGAACGAAUUUUUUUUGAAAUAUGUUUUGUGAUUUGCGCCAGGGGCGAUGACCGAAGUCGAGGCUCUGAAGAAGGCUGUUGCUGAGGCCGAGGGAACGGCAGCCGCAGAGCAGGCUCUUCGUGAGAAGCACGAGGCCAGGGUUAUUGAAGUUGAGCAAGAGCUUCAAGAGGUCGUGAGAAGAUGCGAGGCCUUGGAGCAGAGUCUAAUGGAGAAAGAAUCCGAACUUACCAAGGCUCAUCAGGCUGCAUGCGAUGCCCAGGGGGAAACCCAGGGUGCCCUGCAGGAGAUCUAAGAGGCGAGGAAGAUCACGGCGGGUAAGGCUUGUUCCACGUAAGGAAAGUAUUUGGGGAGAAAAUCAUGUUUCUAAUCUUGAGUUCGGAUUUCUCCAGGGGUGUUUGCGGAGCUGCCACACAGCAUAUCUGAUGCCGGACAAUUCUACCGAGCCGAAGAAAGGAACUCUGCGGAUAAGCUCUUCUGGUCACAGUAUUUGGCACCGAAUUAUCCGGUGCCUUUUGCCGACCGACUGAAACAGCUGAUCGAACUGUACAAGGCGGCCGAGCUAGCCAUGAAGGAUUUGAUUAUCCGGCUAUGGCCCGCUGAGCCGAUUCCAGGCAGCUACUUCGGGCUUGUGAAACAGCUUGCGAGUGCCUGCCCUCGACUGGACGUCAUCAAGCGGUCGGUAUGUAUAGAGGGUAUGCGAAUGGCCUUCGCCCGCGCAAAGGUGCACUGGGGGAAGAUGGAUGCUGAAAAGCUGGUGACCGAGGGACCGCCGGAGGGAAAGGAGCACCUCACGCCUGAAUUAUAUUAUGAAAGUGUCCUGAAAGGAUACUGCCUUGCGGCGGAGCAAUGCACCAAGGACAUUAUAUUUCCAUGAAUACAAUCAUGUUGUCCUUUGUAAUGUUGAACAAGGUCAUUUCUAUUAUUUAUUGCCUGUUAUAUAAAAGUUUAUCCUCCUCCACGGCAGUUUUAUAUAUUAAUCCUGAGAGUUGGCCAGUCGUCGGCUUCUGCCCCCAUGUAGGAAGUACGGGGGUGUUCGGGAUAAACCUGAUCACUCUUUAUCCCAGUUUUGGGUCCUUCGAAGGAGUUGUUCAGCACAACGAACCAGGCAGUCGGACUAUAGGGCUUUAUCACUCUCACUUAGCCAUAGGAGCUUUAGAAAAGGAAGGUAGGCGCAGCCCCUGGUGUUCGGAAGACUGCACGAGGGGCUCUAUAAGCGCCUGGUCAGAAGAAAAGCCGAUCCAUCGCAUGCUGCAUUGGUUAUGGCAUUAUGCGGGAGGAAUCCUUAAAGAUUUUACAACCUCUCGAACAGCUGACCAACUCUCGCCGUAUCAUGACAGUCAGUUUUCGGCUUUCUCUACUGAGGUGCUCGUCCGAAAGAACCGGGACACAAUCACAGUAGUUCUCCCUAUGCCGCCUUAGCCGAUAUAGCAGAAUGUAAGGCAGCAAAACAUGCGAGCCGGGCAAACCCAACAUUUGACCCAAGACAUGAUUCAGAGCUGAUGCAUAUAAUGUUAUAAGUUCGGGGUGCCGAACUUCCAUGAAGGUGUUCGGACUUUAUUGCCGUAUUAUGGGUAAAACGAAGCCCCUGGCAUAUUUAAGGCAUAUCACGGUGUACGGAUGCCAUUUUACAAAAGAAUUUCAAUCAGAGAUAAUGGCAGAUAAGCGUCAUGUAAAUCCACAUGUCGUAUUUAAAUAAUACGUUGAUGCGUAUGAGUACAUGUAAAGUAAAAAAGAGAAAGUGACUGCGGUACAUACUGAGACCAGGCGGGAAGAAGCUGUGUGAGGAUCCGAAGUGCAAUCGGAUGGUCAUCGAGGGGAAUAUCUAAGAGUUCCCUUGCAUGUUCGAGCUGUUUCUAUGUCGCCGGUCCUUGCCUGGGCAAAAAUGAACCUAUACAGAAAAUGCAAGAUGUGUUUGUGUGCCGCAGAGCGGUUGAGCCGCGGUAUGUGGCCUGUCCUGGCCUUCGCCGAAGUGUUUAAUUGAGCUCUGGACGAGCCGGGCUAUCCUGCCGCAAAGUAGUUCGGAGUCCUUUAGCGGUGUCCGGGAGCUUGGCCGUCGACUCAAGGUUUGAUUGAAAGGUGCCACUCGUUGCUUCUGCUGUUAAAGCAGCGGGAUACUCUUUGGUACCGAAGGGGAGUUCGGCCUUGCCAUUAAUCGUGAUGACGCCGCGUGGACCGGGCAUCUUGAGCUUACGGUAGGCAUAAUGUGGCACCACGUUGAAUCAAGCGAAUGCGGUUCGUCCGAGCAGUGCCUGAUAAUCACUGUGAAAGGGGACGAUGUCAAAGAUUAACUCUUCGGGACGGUAAUUGUCUGGUGAUCCGAAGACUACCUCAAGGGCGAUGGAGCCUGUACAGCUGGCCUCCACACCUGGUAUAAUACCUCUAAAGGUGGCUUUAGUGGGCUUGAUCACCUAAUGAUCGAUGCCCAUCUUGCGCAUUGUGUCCUGGUAAAGCAGGUUUAGACUGCUGCCUCCGUCCAUAAGGACUCGUGUGAGGUGGAACCCGUCAAUUAUUGGGUCGAGGACUAGUGCGGCUGAAUUGCCCUGAUUGGUGUUAACCGGACGAUCCAUGCGGUUGAAGGUGAUCGACCCCAGUUUAUAUUGUGGGAUGACUGGUUCCGUUAAGUCGACAUCCCUAAGGGUGCACAUCCGGUCCGGGUUGGGAGUGUGGGUGGAGUUUACCACGUUCACCGUUUGGAUUUGCGGGGGAAAUUUCUUUUGCCCUCCUGUAUUCGGUGAUCUGGGCUCCUCGUCGCCAUCAUCGCUUUGAGACCCCUUAUCUUUGUUUUUGGCACCUGACCUGCCGACUUGUUUGAAGACCCAGCAUUCUCUGUUGGUAUGAUUGGCUGGUGUUCCUGGGGUGCCAUGAAUUUUGCAUGGACGGUCGAGUAUGCGGUCCAGACUGGACGGACCCGAAUUGUCAUUUUUGAAUGGCCCUUUCCGCUGACUGGACUUAGAGCCACUAAAUCCGGCAUUGACUGCCGUAUCUUCGGCGUUUUCACCAUUUUUGCGGCGCUUGUGUUUGUUGCGUCGGGGUUUGCCGUUGUUAUCUCUGGCCUUUGAUGUGCCAGGGUUGCUUGCUGUGUUGUUGCUACGGGCCAACCAUCUAUCCUCGCCCACGCAAAAGCGGGUCAUGAGUGUCGUGAGGGCUGCCAUGGAUUUUGGCUUCUCUUGGCCGAGAUGUCGGGCGAGCCACUCGUCACGGAUGUUAUGUUUAAAGGCCGCUAGGGCUUCGGCAUCUGGACAGUCGACAAUUUGGUUCUUUUUAGUUAUGAACCGAGUCCAGAAUUUCCUGGCUGACUCUCCGGGUUAUUGUGUUAUGUGACUUAAAUCAUCAGCAUCCGGUGGUCGCACAUAAGUGCCCUGGAAGUUGUCCAGGAAUGCGUCUGCCAGGUUCUCCUAACUCCCGAUGGAGUUUGCCGGCAAGCUAUUCAGCCAAUGCCGAGCCGGCCCUUUGAGUUUUAGUGGGAGAUACUUGAUGGCGUGUAGAUCAUCCCCGCGGGCCAUGUGAAUGUGGAGGAAGAAAUCCUCUAUCCAUACCGCGGGGUCUGUAGUACCAUCAUAUGAUUCAAUGUUCACGGGUUUAAACCCUCCUAGGAAUUCAUGAUCCAUUACUUCAUCAGUGAAGCAUAGGGGGUGUGCGGCGCCUCUGUGCCGGGCUAUAUCACGACGCAGUUCAUACGAGUCUUGUCUGCUGUAUUCGGCCCGACCGGAUUUGCUUUUAGUAUAUCCGGCGUGACGGUCGUCGUCACGCGUUGGGGCGCGCCCUCGUGAUCCGUAGAUCGAUCUUGUAUGUCCUGCUUUGUUUUCCAAUACGUCUCGCAGGUCCUGUGUGUUGCCCCGGGCCUUGGUGUUUUUGUUUGUCUGGCGACGGGGUGCGGGCUGGACGUCGGGCUGAUAUGCCGUUCGGCCACAAGGUGGCCGGUCAGCCGCAUCAUACACUGGUAGUGUAGGCUUUAAUGCUUCCUCCUCGAGUUGGGGUAGCAACCUGCGCUUUGGGUAACUUUUGGUUGGCACUCGAGUUCGUAUUCCUCGGCUGCCAGGACCUCAGUCCGUCUAUCCGCUAGCAGAUCUUGGUCAGCUUGAAGCUGUUGUUGCUUUUUCUUCAGGCUUUUUGUUGUUGCUAUAAGCCGGCGCUUGAAGCGCUCCUGCUCGACGGGAUCCUCAGGCGCGAUAAAUUCUUCGUCGCCGAGGCUCACCUCAUCUUCGGAGAGGGGCAUGUAAUUGUCAUCCUCUGAUUCUCCGUCAGCUGCCUGUUCCUUAGGGCUAGCUUGCCCAUCCUCCCGCUCGAAGCCUAGCUGGAGGGGAUUGUCUUCGUCUUCGGCACUAUCCGCAGCGUUAUUGUCUCUUGUGCCGGUAUCGCUGCUUUUUCUAUGGCGGGGCCUAGAGCGGCGCCGAUGACGCCGGUGCUUAGAUUGUUUAUCGAGGGGAUUAUCCUCCGUUGCCUUAUUGCCAUCGCUUUCUUUGGGGGUGUCCACCAUGUAUAUAUCAUAUGAUGAGGUGGCAGUCCAGCGCCCUGUGGGCGGUGGUUCCUGUUCUUCUCCUGCAUCAUCGUCCAUACCGUCGAUGUCUUCGGAGCCGAAAUCAAGCAUGUCGGUUAAGUCGUCGACAGUGGCUAUUAAGUGGGUGGUGGGUGGGGAACGAAUUUCUUCGUCGCCCGCUUCCCACUCAAGCCGGACAUAGUUUGACCAAGGGCCUCCUGACAAGGAUAGGGACCUUAAUGAAUUUCGCAAGUCGCCCAGGGGCGAGUGCUGAAAGAUAUCCGUGGAGGUAAACUCCAUGAUCGGUGCCCAAUCAGAUUCGAUAGGCACGGACGCAGGCGGUUCGGAGCCCGUGGCCGGGGACGAAUCCAAGGGUCCGGCAACACAAGUCUCAUAGGAGGUGAAGUCAGUAUUCGGCUCUAUCGCCGCUGAGUGUGCGGCCUCCGUGGCGGGGUCCAUCCACCCGUCCUCGGACGGCACGAUCUGCUCUGGAUUGAGGGCCGGAGUAGCCACACGUGUGAUCUCCCGAACACCGUCCGACGGCAGAGCUAAGUCAUGCUCGUCGUGACUGUGCAGCGCACCUGACAUGGGCUCAAAUCCGUCGAAGAUCAAGUCUCCGCGGAUGUCAGCAGUAUAGUUUAAGCUUCCAAACCUGACCUGACGGCCAGGGGCGUAGCUCUCGAUCUGCUCCAGAUGGCCAAGCGAGUUGGCCCGCAGUACGAGGCCGCCGAAUGCGAAGAUCUGUCCAGGGAGAAAAACCUCACCCUGGAUUGCAUCGUUGCCGAUGAUCGACAGAGCCAUCAAGCCUUUAUGAUGAUGGCACAGUGGAACUCUCAAUGAAAGCACCAAUGUCGGUGUCAAAACCGGCGGAUCUCGGGUAGGGGGUCCCAAACUGUGCGUCUAAGGCGGAUGGUAACAAGAGGCGGGGGACACAAUGUUUACCCAGGUUCAGGCCCUCUCGAUGGAGGUAAUACCCUACUUCCUACUUGAUUGAUCUUGAUGAUAUGAGUAUUACAAGAGUUGAUCUACCAUGAGAUCGUAGAGGCUAAACCCUAGAAGCUAGCCUAUGAUUAUGAUUGUUUUUGUCCUACGGACUAUACCCUCCGGUUUAUAUAGACACCGGAGGGGACUAGGGUUACACAGAGUCGGUUACAAGGGAGGAGAUCUACAUAUCCAAAUUGCCAAGCUUGCCUUCCACGCAAAGGAGAGUCCCACCCGGACACGGGACGAAGUCUUCAAUCUUGUAUCUUCAUAGUCCAAUAGUCCGGCCAAAGUGUAUAGUCCGGCUGUCCGAGGACCCCAUAAUCCAGGACUCCCUCAGGCAACAACAAAGAUGUGGGAGAGAGAGAUCGUAGUAGGUGAAGAGGAGAGGAACAGCAGCAAGGGGCGAAGGGCGUAGAAGAAUUGCAGGUUGAAAAUGGGAGGAGCAGCAGAAGGUUGAGGUAGGCAAGGCAAAACAGCAGGGAGCAGCGGAGGUAAGGGAAGAAAGGCAGCAGAGAGAGAUGGAG